AGCGAUCUUUAGGAGCUUGCUCCUGAAGGUUAGCGGCGGACGGGUGAGUAACACGUGGGCAACCUGCCUAUAAGACUGGGAUAACUUCGGGAAACCGGAGCUAAUACCGGAUAAUCCUUUUCCUCUCAUGAGGGAAAGCUGAAAGACGGUUUCGGCUGUCACUUAUAGAUGGGCCCGCGGCGCAUUAGCUAGUUGGUGAGGUAACGGCUCACCAAGGCGACGAUGCGUAGCCGACCUGAGAGGGUGAUCGGCCACACUGGGGCUGAGACACGGCCCAGACUCCUACGGGAGGCAGCAGUAGGGAAUCUUCCGCAAUGGACGAAAGUCUGACGGAGCCACGCCCCGUGAGCGAUGAAGGCCUUCCGGUCGUAAAGCUCUGUUGUUAGGGAAGAACAAGUAUCGGAGUAACUGCCGGUACCUUGACGGUACCUAACCAGAAAGCCACGGCUAACUACGUGCCAGCAGCCGCGGGGAUACCUAUGUGGCCAGCGUUGUCCGGAAUUAUUGGGCGUAAAGCGCGCGGAGGCGGUCCUUUAAGUCUGAUGUGAAAGCCCACGGGGUCAACCCUGGAGGGUAAUUGGAAACUGGGGGGACUUGAG
rnacentral:rRNA from 1 species